rnacentral:rRNA from 1 species
UACGUAGGGUGCAAGCGUUGUCCGGAAUUAUUGGGCGUAAAGAGCUCGUAGGCGGUCUGUCACGUCGGCUGUGAAAACCCGAGGCUCAACCUCGGGCCUGCAGUCGAUACGGGCAGACUAGAGUUCGGUAGGGGAGACUGGAAUUCCUGGUGUAGCGGUGAAAUGCGCAGAUAUCAGGAGGAACACCGGUGGCGAAGGCGGGUCUCUGGGCCGAAACUGACGCUGAGGAGCGAAAGCGUGGGGGAGCGAACAGG